GUAGGUGGCAAGCGUUGUCCGGAAUUAUUGGGCGUAAAGCGCGCGCAGGCGGUUCUUUAAGUCUGAUGUGAAAGCCCACGGGCUCAACCGUGGAGGGUCAUUGGAAACUGGAGAACUUGAGUACAGAAGAGGAAAGCGGAAUUCCACGUGUAGCGGUGAAAUGCGUAGAGAUGUGGAGGAACACCAGUGGCGAAGGCGGCUUUCUGGUCUGUAACUGACGCUGAGGCGCGAAAGCGUGGGGAGCAAACAGGAUUAGAUACCCCGGUAGUCCACGCCGUAAACGAUGAGUGCUAAGUGUUAGGGGGUUUCCGCCCCUUAGUGCUGCAGCUAACGCAUUAAGCACUCCGCCUGGGGAGUACGGCCGCAAAGGCUGA
rnacentral:rRNA from 1 species